rnacentral:rRNA from 1 species
UACGUAGGGUGCAAGCGUUGUCCGGAAUUAUUGGGCGUAAAGAGCUCGUAGGCGGUUUGUCGCGUCGGCUGUGAAAACUCGGGGCUCAACCCCGAGCCUGCAGUCGAUACGGGCAAACUAGAGUGUGGUAGGGGAGACUGGAAUUCCUGGUGUAGCGGUGAAAUGCGCAGAUAUCAGGAGGAACACCGGCGGCGAAGGCGGAUCUCUGGGCCAUAACUGACGCUGAGGAGCGAAAGCGUGGGGAGCGAACAGG